rnacentral:rRNA from 1 species
UACAGAGGUGGCAAGCGUUGUUCGGAAUUACUGGGCGUAAAGGGUGCGUAGGCGGCGCGGUAAGUCGGGUGUGAAAUCUCGGGGCUUAACUCCGAAACUGCAUUCGAUACUGCCGUGCUUGAGGACUGGAGAGGAGACUGGAAUUUACGGUGUAGCGGUGAAAUGCGUAGAUAUCGUAAGGAAGACCAGUGGCGAAGGCGGGUCUCUGGACAGUUCCUGACGCUGAGGCACGAAGGCCAGGGGAGCAAACGGG